rnacentral:rRNA from 1 species
GACGAACGCUGGCGGCGUGCUUAACACAUGCAAGUCGGGCGGUAAGGCCCUUCGGGGUACACGAGCGGCGAACGGGUGAGUAACACGUGGGUGACCUGCCCCCUACUCUGGGAUAAGCCUGGGAAACUGGGUCUAAUACCGGAUAUGACUACAUGUCGCAUGGUGUGUGGUGGAAAGUUUUUUCGGUGGGGGAUGGGCCCGCGGCCUAUCAGCUUGUUGGUGGGGUGAUGGCCUACCAAGGCGACGACGGGUAGCCGGCCUGAGAGGGCGACCGGCCACACUGGGACUGAGACACGGCCCAGACUCCUACGGGAGGCAGCAGUGGGGAAUAUUGCGCAAUGGGCGGAGGCCUGACGCAGCGACGCCGCGUGGGGGAUGACGGCCUUCGGGUUGUAAACCUCUUUCGGCCCCGACGAAGCGUGAGUGACGGUAGGGGUAGAAGAAGCACCGGCCAACUACGUGCCAGCAGCCGCAGUAAAAC